rnacentral:rRNA from 1 species
GCAGCAGGCGCGAAACCUUUACACUGCACGCCAGUGCGAUAAGGGGAUCCCAAGUGCGUAGGCAUAGAGCCUACGCUUUUGUCCACCCUAGGGUGGUGGACGAAUAAGGGCUGGGCAAGACCGGUGCCAGCCGCCGCGGUAAUACCGGCAGCCCGAGUGAUGGCCGAUCUUAUUGGGCCUAAAGCGUCCGUAGCUGGCCGCACAAGUCCAUCGGKAAAUCCACCUGCUCAACAGGUGGGCGUCCGGUGGAAACUGUGUGGCUUGGGACCGGAAGGCGCGACGGGUACGUCCGGGGUAGGAGUGAAAUCCCGUAAUCCUGGACGGACCGCCGAUGGCGAAAGCACGUCGCGAAAACGGAUCCGACAGUGAGGGACGAAAGCUAGGGUCUCGAACCGGAUUAGAUACCCGGGUAGUCCUAGCCGUAAACACUGCCUGCUAGGUGUGGCACCCACUACGAGUGGGUGCUGUGCCGUAGGGAAGCCGCUAAGCAGGCCGCCUGGGAAGUACGUCCGCAAGGAUGAAACUUAAAGGAAUUGGCGGGGGAGCACUACAACCGGAGGAGCCUGCGGUUUAAUUGGAUUCAACGCCGG